CACACAGUGACAGGAAACACUUCCUCAUACAAAAAGCUGACAGUCUGACACAAAUAUGCAGAUGGUAUAUAUAGUAUAGCAUGGUGGAUCUAUUGAAAAAACAAACCAAGACUACAGCAAAAACUAGACCAAAAGGAACUGAAAACCCUUAAACACAAACCACAGAAGAAGAGUUACAUAUCCAAAUAUCAGAGGAGGGGCCUCAUAGUUAAACACUGGUAUAGGCUGGAUAUACCUGCAGCCAUGAGGAUGUCUCUGUAGAGGAUUUACUCAGCUCUCUCCCUGUCUUAUCUCUCAGUUGGAUUAUCUAGUCUGUGUCAGGAUGUCACUCAUAUUACUGUUGCUCCUCUCAGCGUUUGUAGGUGAUAGUAUGGAGCAGGAAACAAUAACUCCAGUGAAGCCUGAAGUCAAUGCUCUCCAAGGAACAGACAUCACUCUCUCCUGCAACUACAAGGGCAACAUUAUCAAUCUACAAUGGUACCGUCAUUACCCCGGAUCCAGACCAGAAUGUCUUCUUUGGAUCCUACAAACCAACAAAGUGCAGAUGUGAUGAGGCUGUUGACCAGCAGAGUGGAUAUGUUACUGCCCUUAUCGGAGGACUAGUAACACCCAG
ensembl:lncRNA